rnacentral:lncRNA from 1 species
AGUUUUAUUCUGGAGGCUUAGUUAAUAGGAUAGCUCGUGGUUUUAUUUUCAAUAAUAUUUACUUCUAAAAGUCGGAGAUAAUUCUAGGCAUGUUGGGACAGCAUGGUCUAUUUUUAUGGGGAGAAGUGGGUGCAGGGAUUUUUUUUUGAGAGGAGGUGCUGACUGCUUCUGAUUUUUCUAAUUGUUACAUUCAAGGAUGGGAUCAAUGGACACCGUUAGCAAUGUAAAUUUAGCUUUAAGUAUGGUUAUUUAAGAAGCAGGGGAUGAAGAUGAUUUGGGGUCUUUAUUCGGGUUGUUUUUCAUAAUGAGAAAAUCCACCAGUAAGUUUUCAUAAUUGAGUAAUUUUUAGUUGGUGUUUUGGGAGUGUAUGGAUGGGGAGGAAAUUUUAAUUUGUUAACACAUUUUAGAGUUUAUUUUUGGAGUGUCAGGGUAAAUUGGAGUGUUUAAUUCAGAAUUAUUUUUGUCAUGCAUAAAGUUUAUUUUUCUUCAUCAGUGAUGGAAACUUAUGCAAUUCUAUUGCAUUAUGUCAGGU